rnacentral:rRNA from 1 species
AACGAACGCUGGAGGCAUGCCUAACACAUGCAAGUCGAACGAGACCUUCGGGUCUAGUGGCGCACGGGUGCGUAACGCGUGGGAAUCUACCCUUGGGUUCGGAAUAACAGUUAGAAAUGACUGCUAAUACCGGAUGAUGACGUAAGUCCAAAGAUUUAUCGCCCAAGGAUGAACCCGCGUAAGAUUAGCAUGUUGGUGGGGUAAUGGCCUACCAAGGCGACGAUCUUUAGCUGGUCUGAGAGGAUGAUCAGCCACACUGGGACUGAGACACGGCCCAGACUCCUACGGGAGGCAGCAGUGGGGAAUAUUGGACAAUGGGCGAAAGCCUGAUCCAGCAAUGCCGCGUGAGUGAUGAAGGCCUUAGGGUUGUAAAGCUCUUUUACCAGGGAUGAUAAUGACAGUACCUGGAGAAUAAGCUCCGGCUAACUCCGUGCCAGCCGCCGCCGUAA